rnacentral:rRNA from 1 species
CCUACGGGAGGCAGCAGUGAGGAAUAUUGGUCAAUGGACGAGAGUCUGAACCAGCCAAGUAGCGUGAAGGAUGACUGCCCUAUGGGUUGUAAACUUCUUUUAUAUGGGAAUAAAACGUUCCACGUGUGUGAUUUUGUAUGUACCAUAUGAAUAAGGAUCGGCUAACUCCGUGCCAGCAGCCGCGGUAAUACGGAGGAUCCGAGCGUUGUCCGGAUUUAUUGGGUUUAAAGGGAGCGUAGGUGGAUUGUUAAGUCAGUUGUGAAAGUUUGCGGCUCAACCGUAAAAUUGCAGUUGAAACUGGCAGUCUUGAGUACAGUAGAGGUGGGCGGAAUUCGUGGUGUAGCGGUGAAAUGCUUAGAUAUCACGAAGAACUCCGAUUGCGAAGGCAGUUCACUGGACUGCAACUGACACUGAGGCUCGAAAGUGUGGGUAUCAAACAGGAUUAGAUACCCGAGUAGUC